AUUGAACGCUGGCGGAAUGCUUUACACAUGCAAGUCGAGCGGCAGCGCGGGGCAACCUGGCGGCGAGCGGCGAACGGGUGAGUAACACAUCGGAACGUACCCAGUCAUGGGGGAUAGCCCGGCGAAAGCCGGAUUAAUACCGCACACGACCUGAGGGUGAAAGUGGGGGACCGCAAGGCCUCACGUGAUUGGAGCGGCCGAUGGCGGAUUAGCUAGUUGGUAGGGUAAAGGCCUACCAAGGCGACGAUCCGUAGCGGGUCUGAGAGGACGGCCCGCCACACUGGAACUGAGACACGGUCCAGACUCCUACGGGAGGCAGCAGUGGGGAAUUUUGGACAAUGGGCGAAAGCCUGAUCCAGCCAUUCCGCGUGAGUGAAGAAGGCCUUCGGGUUGUAAAGCUCUUUCGGCAGGAACGAAACGGUGAAUUCGAAUAAAGCUCACUAAUGACGGUACCUGAAGAAGAAGCACCGGCUAACUACGUGCCAGCCGCCGCAGUAA
rnacentral:rRNA from 1 species